AUACGUAGGGGGCGAGCGUUGUCCGGAAUGAUUGGGCGUAAAGGGCGUGUAGGCGGCGCGGUAAGUCUGGAGUGAAAGUCCUGCUUUCAAGGUGGGAAUUGCUUUGGAUACUGCCGCGCUUGAGUGCAGGAGAGGUUAUCGGAAUUCCCGGUGUAGCGGUGAAAUGCGUAGAGAUCGGGAGGAACACCAGUGGCGAAGGCGGGUAACUGGACUGCAACUGACGCUGAGGCGCGAAAGUGUGGGGAGCAAACAGGAUUAGAUACCCUGGUAGUCCACACUGUAAACGAUGAAUGCUAGGUGUAAGAGGUAUCGACCCCUUUUGUGCCGGAGUCAACACAAUAAGCAUUCCGCCUGGGGAGUACGGCCGCAAGGUUGAAACUCAAAGGAAUUGACGGGG
rnacentral:rRNA from 1 species